CAGUCUUCCUGAGGGCCCUCUGCACGAGUCACACGAGCACGCAUAUUGAACGUUGUCAUUGGCAUUUGUGUAGAGUUUACAACAGAAAAGAAAUAUGUCAAACUAAUCAUACCUGUCCAUGGUCUUGGAAACAUGCACGUCUUCAAAUAAGCGGCCUCCUAACACAAGACAAUCUGCAUACAAUCUGUAUACAAGGAAUUAUGAACAGUGUCUCAGAAGAGUGGAAUUAAGAGUAGACAAAAUUGAAUUGAGGACUUUUUUUUCUUGUAAAUC